UGAGCAAUCUGCCCUUCUCAUCGGAAUAAGCGUUGGAAACGACGUCUAAUGCCGAAUACGACCUCCUUUCGCAUGAUCGGAGGUGGAAAGCUCCGGCGGAGGAGGAUGAGCUCGCGGCCUAUCAGCUAGUUGGUGUGGGUAACGGCCCACCAAGGCGACGACGGGUAGCCGGCCUGAGAGGGUGACCGGCCACACUGGGACUGAGACACGGCCCAGACCUCCUACGGGAGGNAGCG
rnacentral:rRNA from 1 species